rnacentral:lncRNA from 1 species
CUCGGAAACGCAGCUAUGACUGCUUGGAGGUUGACGACGUUGGACUGAAAAUGGCGGACUGGUUCUGGAGGUUGACGUCGGUGGUUUCGACUGGUUUUAGGGUUUCUGGGAAGGUGAGGACGGUGGCGAGGAGGCGGGUCCGUGUGGUGGUGGUGUUUUGACAGUGACGGAGGUGGAAGGAGUUAGUAGUAGACGGGGUUGUUUGGUUCAGUGGUCGACUGGGCCGUGACGAUGCAGCAGGAGCUGGGCGUCGUCUGUGGUGGCGUUCGGACGUAGGUUGAGGGACAGUGGCAACGUGGGGGGGAAGUUGGACGUGAGGGAGUCGGACGCAGGUGGUUUGUUGGUGGUUUUGGACGUGAGGGUGCCGGCGUUAAUGGAGGUGGGCAUUUGGUGGUGUUCCGGCGAAGGGGAUGGUGCGUGGGGGUGUUGUCCGGUGAGUUGAAGAAGAAGACGAUGGUGUCUUCCUCUUCGGGUGGCUUGGCUCCUUGGUUUCGUGGGUUUUUCAGUAGGGUUCGUUAGGUUUUUCAAAAGAGGAGGAAGGUGAACAGUAAUCCUCCUCCAAAAUUUUUUAAUCCAUGUUCGUCUUUUUUU